GACGUAGGGCGCGAGCGUUGUCCGGAUUUAUUGGGCGUAAAGAGCUCGUAGGCGGCUUGUCGCGUCGACUGUGAAAACCCGCGGCUCAACCGCGGGCCUGCAGCCGAUACGGGCAGGCUAGAGUUCGGGUAGGGGAGACUGGAAUUCCUGGUGUAGCGGUGAAAUGCGCAGAUAUCAGGAGGAACACCGGUGGCGAAGGCG
rnacentral:rRNA from 1 species